CGAACCGAGCGAACGUUGUUCGGAAUCACUGGGCUUAAAGGGUGCGUAGGCGGGCUGCCAAGUUUGGGGUGAAAUCCUCCGGCUCAACCGGGGAAGUGCCUUGAAUACUGGCGGUCUCGAGGGAGGUAGGGGCGUGCGGAACUAACGGUGGAGCGGUGAAAUGCGUUGAUAUCGUUAGGAACUCCGGUGGCGAAGGCGGCACGCUGGACCUCUUCUGACGCUGAGGCACGAAAGCCAGGGGAGCGAACGGGAUUAGAUACCCCGGUAGUCCUGGCCCUAAACGUUGAGAACUAGGUAGCAGGCCGGACAUGGGCUUGCUGCCGGAGCAAAAAGUGCUAAGUUCUCCGCCUGGGGAGUAUGGUCGCAAGGCUG
rnacentral:rRNA from 1 species